rnacentral:rRNA from 1 species
UAGGGAAUCUUCCACAAUGGACGAAAGUCUGAUGGAGCAACGCCGCGUGAGUGAAGAAGGUUUUCGGAUCGUAAAGCUCUGUUGUUGGUGAAGAAGGAUAGAGGCAGUAACUGGUCUUUAUUUGACGGUAAUCAACCAGAAAGUCACGGCUAACUACGUGCCAGCAGCCGCGGUAAUACGUAGGUGGCAAGCGUUGUCCGGAUUUAUUGGGCGUAAAGCGAGCGCAGGCGGAAUGAUAAGUCUGAUGUGAAAGCCCACGGCUCAACCGUGGAACUGCAUCGGAAACUGUCAUUCUUGAGUGCAGAAGAGGAGAGUGGAACUCCAUGUGUAGCGGUGGAAUGCGUAGAUAUAUGGAAGAACACCAGUGGCGAAGGCGGCUCUCUGGUCUGCAACUGACGCUGAGGCUCGAAAGCACGGGUAGCGAACAGGAUUAGAUACCCUGGUAGUCCAUGCCGUAAACGAUGAGCGCUAGGUGUUGGGGA